GGCUGCAGUAUUUUGACUGUACAAAGGUAGCAUAAUCAAUAGUCUCUUAAUUGGUGACUUGUAUGAAUGAUUGGAUGAGAUAUAAGCUGUCUCUAAUUGAUAUUUAGAAUUUAAUUUUUUAAUUAAAAAGUUAAAAUAAUUUAAAAAGACGAGAAGACCCUAUAGAGUUUUAUUUAUUAAUGAAUUAAAAUUAUUUAUAAAAUUUAAAUUAAAAUUCGUUAAUAAAUUUUGUUGGGGUGAUAGAAAAAUUAAAUGAACUUUUUUUAUAAAUUUACAUAAAAAAGUGUUUAAAUGAUCCAAAAUUUUUGAUUAAAUGAUUAAAUUACCUUAGGGAUAACAGCGUAAUUUUUUUUUUUAGUUCAAAUAAAAAGAAAAGUUUGCGACCUCGAUGUUGGAUUAAGAUAAAAUUUAAAUGCAAAAGUUUAAAAUUUUGGUCUGUUCGAUCAUUAAAAUCUUACGUGAUCUGAGUUCA
rnacentral:rRNA from 1 species